rnacentral:tRNA from 1 species
AAAACUUUAAGUUAAAAAUAAACUAAUAAUCUUCAAAAUUAUAAAUAAUAAAUAAUAAAUUAAGUUUUA